rnacentral:rRNA from 1 species
CCCCACUGCUAUCGGGAUGGGACUAAGACAUGCUAGUCGUGCGUCUCCAAGCCAUGGCGGAGACGCGGCGCACAGCUCAGUAACACGUGGCUAACCUGCCCUUAGGACAGGGACAACCCCGGGAAACUGGGGCUAAUCCCUGAUAGGUGAGGGUUCCUGGAAUGGGCCCUCGCCGAAAGGGCGCCUAGACCAUGCUUCUAGGUGCUGCCCAAGGAUGGAGCCGCGGCCGAUCAGGUUGUUGGUGAGGCAACGGCUCACCAAGCCUUUAACCGGUACGGGCCGUGAGAGCGGGAGCCCGGAGAUGGGUACUGAGACAAGGACCCAGGCCCUACGGGGCGCAGCAGUCGCGAAAACUCCGCAAUACGCGAAAGCGUGACGGGGCUAUCCCGAGUGCCGUCCGCUGAGGAUGGCUUUUCCCUAGUGUAUAAAGCUGGGGGAAUAAGGAGAGGGCAAGCCUGGUGUCAGCCGCCGCGGUAAUACCAGCUCUCCGAGUGGUGGGGAUGCUUAUUGGGCCUAAAGCAUUCGUAGCCGGUUGGGCAAGUCCUCCGUUAAAUCCAGCGAUUCAAUCGUUGGACUGCGGGGGAUACUGCCCGGCUUGGGGGCGGAAGAGGCCGACGGUAUUCUCGGGGUAGGGGUGAAAUCCUAUAAUCCCGGGAGGACCACCAGUGGCGAAGGCUGUCGGCUAGAACGCGCCCGACGGUGAGGGAUGAAAGCUGGGGGAGCGAACCGGAUUAGAUACCCGGGUAGUCCCAGCUGUAAACGAUGCAGGCUAGGUGUUGGCGCGGCUACGUGCCGCUCCAGUGCCGCAAGGAAGCCGUUAAGCCUGCCGCCUGGGAAGUACGGCCGCAAGGCUGAAACUUAAAGGAAUUGGCGGGGGAGCACCACAAGGGGUGAAGCUUGCGGUUU